GUCCGCCUCACCGCGUGCACUGGUCCGGCCGGGCCUUUCCUUCUGGGGAGCCGCAUGCCCUUCACUGGGUGUGUCGGGGAACCAGGACUUUUACUUUGAAAAAAUUAGAGUGUUCAAAGCAGGCCUAUGCUCGAAUACAUUAGCAUGGAAUAAUAGAAUAGGACGUGUGGUUCUAUUUUGUUGGUUUCUAGGACCGCCGUAAUGAUUAAUAGGGAUAGUCGGGGCAUCAGUAUUCAAUUGU
rnacentral:rRNA from 1 species